ACGUACCCCAAAGUGAGGGAUAAGCACCAGAAAUGGUGUCUAAUACCGCAUGUGAUCUUCGGAUGAAAGCUUCGGCGCUUUGGGAACGGCCUGCGCAUGAUUAGCUUGUUGGUGAGGUAAUGGCUCACCAAGGCGAUGAUCAUUAGCUGGUCUGAGAGGAUGACCAGCCAGACUGGGACUGAGAACGGCCCAGACUCCUACGGGAGGCAGCAGUAGGGAAUUUUCCACAAUGGGCGAAAGCCUGAUGGAGCAACGCCGCGUGCAGGAUGAAGGCUUUCGGGUCGUAAACUGCUUUUAUAUGUGACGAUAAUGACGGUAGCAUAUGAAUAAGGAUCGGCUAACUCCGUGCCAGCAGCCGCGGUCAUACGGAGGAUCCAAGCGUUAUCCGGAAUUACUGGGCGUAAAGAGUUGCGUAGGUGGCAUUGUAAGUCAGUAGUGAAAGCGUGGGGCUCAACCCCAUAAACAUUACUGAAACUGCAAAGCUAGAGGAUGAGAGAGGUUAUUGGAAUUCCUAGUGUAGGAGUGAAAUCCGUAGAUAUUGGGAGGAACACCGAUGGCGUAGGCAGAUAACUGGCUCAUUCCUGACACUAAGGCACGAAAGCGUGGGUAGCAAACGGGAUUAGAUACCCCGGUAGUCCACGCUGUAAACGAUGGAUGCUAGCUGUUAUCGGUAUCGACCCCGGUAGUAGCGAAGCUAACGCGUUAAGCAUCCCGCCUGUGGAGUACGGUCGCAAGACUAAAACAUAAAGGAAUUGACGGGGACCCGCACAAGCGGUGGAGCGUGUUGUUUAAUUCGAUGGUAAGCGAAGAACCUUACCCAGGUUUGACAUCCUUGGAAUUUUUCCGAAAGGAAAAAGUGCUUUAUUGAGCCAAGUGACAGGUGUUGCAUGGCCGUCGUCAGCUCGUGUCGUGAGAUGUUUGGUUAAGUCCAUUAACGAGCGCAACCCUUGUGAUUAGUUGAAUUUUUCUAAUCAGACUGCCCUGGCAACAGGGAGGAAGGAGGGGAUGAUGUCAGGUCAGUAUUACCCUUACAUCUGGGGCCACAAACACGCUACAAUGGCCGGUACAAAGGGCAGCCAAGUCGCGAGACGGAGCAAAUCCCAUCAAAGCCGGUCUCAGUUCGGAUAGCAGGCUGAAACUCGCCUGCUUGAAGUCGGAAUCGCUAGUAACGGUAGGUCAGCUAUACUACCGUGAAUACGUUCCC
rnacentral:rRNA from 1 species